rnacentral:tRNA from 1 species
CGCCAGAUAGCUCAGUUGGUAGAGCACCUGACUUAGAUUCAGGGGCCCUGGUUCAAAUUCCGAUCUGGUCC